UAUGACCAUAUUAUAUUGAAAACACCAGUUCUCAUACAAUCACCAAAGUUAAGCAACAUCAGUACCUAGAUGGGUGACCACUUGGGAAUACCAAGUGCUGCAAGC